rnacentral:rRNA from 1 species
AAUGAACGUUGGCGGCAUGGAUUAGGCAUGCAAGUCGAGCGAGAAGAGUUUUGAAGCUUGCUUUAGAACUCGGACAGCGGCGAAAGGGAGAGUAACGCGUAGUUAUGUGCCCUAGGGUCCGGAAUAGCCACGGGAAACUGUGGGUAAUGCCGGAUAACAUCCCCGGAUCAAAGGUGUGAUUCCGCCCUAGGAGCAGACUGCGUCCUACUAGCUAGUUGGUGGGGUAAUGGCCCACCAAGGCAAUGAUGGGUAGCGGGUGUGAGAGCAUGACCCGUCUCGCUGGGACUGAGACACUGCCCAGACACCUACGGGUGGCUGCAGUCGAGGAUCUUCGGCAAUGGGCGAAAGCCUGACCGAGCGAUGCCGCGUGCGGGAUGAAGGCCCUCGGGUUGUAAACCGCUGUCGUAGGGGAGGAAGGUUCCGUGAAGAGCGGAAUUUGACCUAUCCUAGAAGGAAGUACGGGCUAAGUUCGUGCCAGCAGCCGCGGUAA